GUAAAAAUCGAACAGGUUUCCGAAGGUGACCCGGGGGAAGGAUCAUUA
rnacentral:rRNA from 1 species